rnacentral:lncRNA from 1 species
CUUCCAUUCUCUCCCUCCAUGUCUUAAGUGCUACAGGAAUGAGCAGAACACCCUGACUCUGACGACAGUGACAAAGAAAUAGUGAAAGAAAGGAAGGAGAGAAGCAGAGGAAGAGAGAGGGAGAGGAAGAGGGAGGGAGGCGAGAGAAAGAGAGUGAAGAAAGGAAGAGAGAGGGAGAGGAAGAGGGAAAGGGAGAAGGAGACCGGUUGCAGACUGACUUUCAGACAACUGGAAGAGAGGAAGCUAAGAGAGAGCUUUACCGUCGCCAUCUCAAUCAUGACUUUGGAUGGGGAGUUUUGAAGUGUUUCUGCUGAGAAAGCCAAACUACUACUCUCAGAGAAGGAGGCGUGGUUUUGAACCUGAGGUGGUGCCACACCCAACCCAGCUGAUUCCAGAUGGAAGUGGAUGCGGUUGAGAAGCGCCAUCGAACGCGUUCCAAAGGGGUCCGAG